GAUGAAGAACGCAGCGAAUUGCGAUAUGUAAUGUGAAUUGCAGAAUUCAGUGAAUCAUCGAAUCUUUGAACGCACAUUGCGCCCGCCAGUAUUCUGGCGGGCAUGCCUGUCCGAGCGUCAUUUCAACCCUCGAACCCCUCCGGGGGGUCGGCGUUGGGGAUCGGCCCUUUCACCGGGUGCCGGCCCCUAAAUACAGUGGCGGUCUCGCCGCAGCCUCUCAUGCGCAGUAGUUUGCACACUCGCACCGGGAGCGCGGCGCGUCCUCGUCCGUAAAACACCCCAAACUUCUGAAAUGUUGACCUCGGAUCAGGUAGGAAUACCCGCUGAACUUAAGCAUAUCAAUAAGCGGAGGA
rnacentral:misc_RNA from 1 species